rnacentral:lncRNA from 1 species
AAGAUCCCUUCCCCAAGUUGCGGAUUGUGGAUCUGUCCAACAAUCAAUUCACAGGCCAUUUGCCAAUUCAAUACUUUAAGAAUAUGAAAUCAAAUGAUAAUUUGUAUCGUUAUCUGAAUUCCACAGGAGAAAUAUAUAUCUCUUAUGAAGCAGCAGUCUCAUUAACUGUGAAGGGAACAGAGUAUGAAGUAGCAAAGAACCUUCAUAUUUACACAGCCAUUGAUCUGUCGUGCAACAAAUUUCAGGGAGAAAUUCCAAAGGUUACCGGAGAGCUUAGAUGGCUUGCAUUGCUCAAUUUAUCUCAUAAUAGUCUAACAGGACCUAUCCCAUCAUUGCUGGGAAAUAUGAAAGAACUCCAAUCUUUAGAUUUGUCCUCAAAUCAACUGACAGGGGCUAUUCCACCUCAGCUAACUGCAUUGACAUUUCUAGAGGUCUUGAACCUCUCGGGAAACCAUCUUAGUGGAGAGAUUCCUCAGAAAGGACAGUUCAGCACAUUCAACAAUGAUUCUUAUCUAGGAAACUCCGCGUUAUGUGGAUCACCUUUGACGAAGAAAUGUGGAAACACUGUAUCACCUCCACAGGAAGUCGGAAAUGGUGAUGAAGAUGAUGCGGGUGAUGAAUGGACAUGGGAAGCAAUCGUGAUGGGAUAUGGAUGUGGACUGAUAUGUGGAUUGUCAUCUGCGUACAUUGUUCUCAAACUAGGAAAGCCUUGGUGGUUUGUGAGAUAUAUCGAAGUACUGCAACAGAAGUUGAUGAAAAGAUAUGCAUGAAGAAAGGUACUGGUAGAUCAAGAUGAAAAGAUAUGAAGAAGUAUUUGGUAUUAUGUAAUAAUCCGUUUGGUCGGGACUCAAAAUGAUUUCUCUUGCUUCAGGGGUAUUAAUAUUAACCUUGCUAUCUUGUUCAAUGUUAAUGCAAAUUAAAAAGAAUAUAAAAGCAAAAAAUUUGCAUCAAACACCUGUUGUACCAACAUGCAUCCAUUAAUUUGCUUUCAUCUAUUAAGUAACAAUUUAAGAGCGCUUCCACUCUGUUUAAGCAUGGAGAUUACACAAAGAAGGCAAGUCCAUGGAUUAACACGUAGUCCACAUCUAUGCUACGAACAAUUCACAUUGAUCUUAUAUCUGUUCAACAGUCUCCCGAAGAUAGGCCAUAAAUGUCAUCUGUGGCUCUUAUGUUUGUCAGUAAAGGAGAAUCUCUGAUGCCUAUAACCUGGUUUUCUUACAAGAUGCCCAGGUUAUCAUGGCCAUGCAGAAAAAUGCCCAAAAAUGAAUAGCUCAGGUCUCCCCAAGCCUUCCAGGACUCAUUCCAAGUCUUCGGAGGACCACUGCCUCCCCCUUUCAAAGAUGUGAUUGUAGCUCGAAAGUGAUAUAAAUUAUUUUCCCCACAUUAAAAAUAAAAAAUCAGAUUAAAUUAAUCAAUAAUAAAUUAAGGAUGAAAUCCAAAUUAAUCCUAAAUUUUGAUAAUAUAUAAAAAUUAUAAUUAUAAAUUAUAUAACCAAAUCAGAAUUGAAUUAACUUACUUGGCACUAGAAUUGCUAAAGACAGUAUAAUAAUUUAAUUGAUGAAAAGUCAAAGUCUUCUAAUAAAUCCAUAAAGAAUAUGAUAAUAUGAAAAUUAUAAUUGAAAAAUCAAAAUCAAUAGUGUAUUGGAAUAGUGUUCACACACUUAUAUAUCAAAAUUUGUGGUCCAAAAACUAUAGCACAAUAUCCUAAAUACAUCACAUUAAAUAAUAGCACAAAAAUAUUCAAUAAAUAAUUGAUUUCAUUCAUAAAUUUGUUAUUUUAAAAACUAAUAAUUUGGUUGAUGUUAACCUAUAUUUUAUAUAUAAUUUCGUCUUAUUUUAUUUUACUAGAAACAAUAUUUUUAUAAUAUUUAUUACAUUAAAUAUAUUAAAAGAUAUAAUUUUAUUAAAAAAAUUGAAUAAAAUUAAAAGGAUAAGUCUCGGCCUCUCCAAGUCUACAAGACUCAUUUCAAGUCCACCGAGGGCCUCAACCAUUGAGAGAUGUGAAAGUAGCUUGAGAGUGAUAUAAAUUAAUUAAAUUAGUUAAUAAUGAAUCAAGACUAAUCAUGAAUUAUGAUAAUAAUUAAAUAAAUUAUAAAAUUAAAUUAUACAAAUAACACUAAACCUUAGUUACUUUAUUGGUAAAAUAAAUAUAAUAUAAUAAUUAAAUUGAUGAAAAAUCAAAAUCAUCUAAUAAAUUCACAAAAAAUAUAUGAUCAUUAGUAUAUUAUAUUAGUAUCCACACACUUAUAUUUCAAAUCUAUCCUCCAAAAUUAUCAUCUCGAUAAACUAGCCGCAUAAAAUAAAAAUUUAACGAUAUUAGAUAUUUAGCUAUUUUCAUUAUAUAAUUUUUCCACACUAAAUAACAAAAUAUCUUUAUCAAAUUAUUAUUUAUGAAUUAAAUAUUCAAGUUAUAAUUCCAGCAUGCAGCGUAUAAAUAGAAGUGUGCAGUAUGAUAUCAGAUUCAUAACCCAGUUGAGGAGAAACAUGGCACACUCUGUAAAGCCUUCUCACCUUCUUCUCUUUGUUUUCUAUCUCUCUUAACUUGAAUACAUUCUUGCAACAACACAAGAGGGAGAAGCUCUUGUGAAAUGGAAGAAUAGCCUAGCCCCUUCUUCUUUUCUCGACUCUUGGUCACUCACCAAUCUCGAUGAUCUUUGUAACUGGACUGGCAUCACUUGUAACUCUGCAGGUUCAGUCUCUCAGAUCAACCUUUUCGAAAAACAACUUGAUGGAAUGCUGUCCGAGUUUGGUUUCACUUCAUUUCCGAAUCUCAACAAUCUCACCCUCGCAUACAACUUCUUCUCGGGUCCGAUACCACCGGCCAUUGAGAAUUUAACACAGCUUCGGUAUCUUGAUUUAAGCUUUAAUUCUCUCCAUGGUCCCAUUCCGUUCCAGGUUAGCCAUCUUCAGAGCUUGCUCAUCUUAAACCUGUCACAGAAUGCAUUGCAAGCUCCAAAUUGGUCCCAUUUCUCUCCCAUGCCUUUUUUGCGCAUCCUCAACCUCAUUAGCAAUCCUCUUGCGUCGAAAUUCCCAAAUUUUAUAUCCAACUCUCAUAGCCUGACUCACCUUAGCCUUAAUUUUAAUGAGUUUACUGGUGAUUUAGUACGUGAAUCAGUAUUUGCCAAUCUGCAUAAUCUUGAAUUGCUCAGUCUCGUUGAAAAUUCUUUUGAGGGGCCAUUUCCGCCGGAUAUAUUCAGGCUUUCCAAAUUAAAACAUCUUCACCUGUCAAGUAACAAAUUUUCAGGUUCAAUUUCCAAUGACAUAAGGUUGCUUUGUGAUCUUGAAUCCCUAUAUUUAGGCAACAAUUCCUUCGAAGGACCCCUUCCAUCAAAUAUAUUCAAGCUUUCAAAAUUAAAAAAUCUUGUUAUUGGGAGUAAUAAGUUUUCGGGUUCUGUUUCCAACGAUAUAGGUUUGCUUUCUGAGCUUGAAAGCCUCUAUCUUGACUCCAAUUUUUUUGAGGGGCCGCUUCCGUCAAAUAUAUUCAAGCUCUCCAAAUUAAGGAUUCUUUCCCUUUGGCAUAAUAACUUUUCAGGUUCUAUUUCUAAGGAUAUAGGUUUGCUUUCUGGACUUGAAACCCUCUUUCUUGACUCUAAUUUUUUUGAGGGUCCGCUUCCCCCGCAUAUAUUUAGGCUCUCCAAAUUAAGAGAUCUGGGUCUCUCAGACAAUAGAAAUUUAUUUGAAGGGAGUAUUCCUAUUGGACUGGGACUCUUGACUAACCUCAGGUACUUAGAUCUAUAUUCCAAUAAUCUCGGUGGUUAUAUUCCAUCUGACAUUGGAAACCUGAAGCUACUAGAAGUUCUUGAUCUCAGUUCUAAUCAAUUGACUGGACCGCUUUUAAAGAUUGUUUCUAAUCUCACAAAUCUUAUGUUUCUUGAUGUAAGACAAAAUAGUCUUAGUGGAAAUAUUCAGAGUGACUUGUGGAAAUAUAACGAUCAUCCAACUUUGGAAUUCAUCAAUUUAAGUGGGAACCAUUUUACGGGUAUAGUUUUUCUCUAUAAAUCUUUUCUUUUGUCAUAUGUAACUAAGCUAGUAAUCUGAUUAAUUGCAGUUUUACCAAAGUUUCAACAAUCUUGACAGGUGAGCUUCCAACAACAAUUUGCAAUGUCACUUCCCUUUCAAUUCUUGAUUUGUCAAAUAAUGGAUUAAGUGGUGCACUUCCAAACUGUUUCGGGAAUCUUGCAGAUAGAUUGCUUUUCAUUAAUCUUGCUAAUAAUCAGUUUCGAGGAACAAUACCAACUACUUUAUCCAAAAGUUGUCAGCUGACAUGUCUAAACAUGGAUAAUAAUGAGUUUGAAGGAUUGUUACCCCCAUCUUUGGCGAACUGUAAGCACUUGAGAAUUCUUGAUAUUGGCAACAAUAAAAUAGGUGGCACAUUUCCGUCAUUGCUUUAUGUACUUGGAGAGCUAGAAGUCCUUGUCUUGCGAUCAAAUAAACUCUGCGGUACAAUAAGUGCAAGGAGCAUAGAAGAUCCCUUCCCCAAGUUGCGGAUUGUGGAUCUGUCCAACAAUCAGUUCACAGGCCAUUUGCCAAUUCAAUACUUCAAGAAUAUGAAAUCAACUGAUAAUUUGUAUUGGUAUCGUAUUUCCACAGGAGAAUUAUUUUUCCAAUAUGAAGCAGCAGUCUCAUUAACUGUGAAGGGAAGAGAGUAUGAAGUAGCAAAUAACCUUCAUAUUUACACAGCCAUUGAUCUGUCGUGCAACAAAUUUCAGGGAGAAAUUCCAACGGUUACUGGAGAGCUUAGAUGGCUUGCAUUGCUCAAUUUAUCUCAUAAUAGUCUAACAGGACCUAUCCCAUCAUUGCUGAGAAAUAUGAAAGAACUCCAAUCUUUAGAUUUGUCCUCGAAUCAACUGACAGGGGCUAUUCCACCUCAGUUAUCUGCAUUGACAUUUCUAGAGGUCUUGAACCUCUCGAAAAACCAUCUUAGUGGAGAGAUUCCUCAGAAAGGACAGUUCAGCACAUUCAACAAUGAUUCUUAUCUAGGAAACUCCGCGUUAUGUGGAUCACCUUUGACGAAGAAAUGUGCAAACACAGCAUCACCUCCACAAGAAGUCGGAAAUGGUGAUGAAGAUGAUGCUGGAGAUGAAUUGACAUGGGAAGCAAUCGUGAUGGGAUAUGGAUGUGGACUGAUAUGUGGUUUGUGAGAUAUAUCGAAGUACUGCAACAGAAGUUGAUGAAAAGAUAUGCAUGAAGAAUGAUACUGGCCGAUCAAGACGAACUUGAAAGUUUGUUGUCCUUGUGGACAUUUCAGCUGAACCAGUAGUGUACUAUUCUCUUUGUGACUGCAUAAGUAUUUUGUAUUGUGUAAUGUUCUGUUUGGGCUUAAAUCAUAAUGAUUUUUCUUGCUUCAGGGGUAUUAAUAUAAAACCGUUUGGUCGGGACUCAUAAUGAUUUCUCUUGCUUCAGGGGUAUUAAUAUCAUCCUUGCUAUCUUGAACAAUGAUAAUGCAAAUUAAAAAGAAUGAAAAAACAAAAAUAUUGCAUCAAACACCUGUUGUACCAAGAUCCAUUAAUUUGCUUUCAUCUCUUACGCAACAAUUUAACAGCACUUCCACACUGUUUGAAAGAUUAUCAUAAAUUCGAGUUUUCCUCUCCAGCACCAAAUCCAAAUUAAUAUACAAUGCCACACAUUCCAGUCUCAGCUUCAGCUCCCAGGGUAGCAUUCAUUUAGCCAAGCACGACAGUGGCCGCUUACGUGCCUAACAAUAACAGUUGGGGAUUUGAGUGAACUUGCCUUGGUCCUGCCUUCAAAUGUCUGACAAUAACAGUUGGAUAUGUCGACAAAAAAAUUGUUCCUCACAGAGGAGCUAAUAGCAAUUGACUUCGAAUAAAUCCGACAGUUCUUUUCAUCCAGUUAUUAUUUCAGCAAUAUGUCUAGCAAAUAUGUAGUGCACUGGACACCAUACUACCAACACAAGUAGUAAAAGGAGAGACCAUUGUUUCGAAUGCUCGGAAAUUUGAACAGGGUUUUUUCCACCUGCCCCCUGACUUUUUACACAAACAGGUCAAGAAAAACAGAAGCCGGCUUCUGGAAAAAUGAAGCACUACUUUAUGAGUGACCAUUGUUUUGAAUGCUCGGAGAUGUGAAGUGGAUUUUUUCAGCCUGCCCCCAGACUUCUUUUUGUAAAACUAGAUUUCUUUAGCUCCGGUGUCUUAGUAUUGGAGAUUAUGAGUGACUGUAGAAAAGACUUUAAUAUGAGUGUGAGAUAUACCCCGGUGGAAACAGGACCUUGAUCCAAAGGGUCACGGGUUCAAACCUCACCUGAUCGGGUUCCACUCCACGCUCGGUCCACAUCUAUGCUGGAUUCAUAUUAAAAUGAUAAUGGAACACGGGCGUCCAUGGUUGGGGAUAUCAUAUUAAAAAGAUUAGCUGGGCACAGAUGAAUAUUUAUAUGGAUUUUAAAAACAAACUAUGACUUAAUAUAAGAAAAAUCAUUAUUUUUUAUUUUUCCGACUAAACAUUUGUUAGCCUUCUCUGGUGCCCAUCCAAAUCAUUCAGCGGGUUCUACUUUCAGCUCAUCACAAGAACAUCAUUCUGCAGGUACUUUCUUAUAUUGUUUGCCAGCGGUGACCGAGCCAGAAACUUUUUCGAGGAGGGGCCGGAAUAGAAAUAUUAUUUAAAUUUGAAAAUAUUAUAUAUCAUAUUGAAAAUAGUAUUAGUAACAAAAAUCCAUUUAUUUUAGGUUUCUAUGAGAAAACUCAGUCGUUUCAUUAAGAAAAUUUAAUUACUUAAUUACCAAACGGUUGAGGAUGAAGAUUUGAAAGAACGAGUUGCAACGGGGAGACUCAUAGACGCGACAGAAAAAAAUAGAAAAAGAUAUUGUUCAACAACCGAGUCUAUAUUAUUAAAAUUUAUGAUAAAUGAGAUAAUUUUAUUUUAUAAACUAACUAAAUACAUAUAAUAUAGUAUUAUAUGUAAUGCUACGUAAAAUUGGAUACAAGAUUUUGCACAAAAUGAUAUGAUAACUAAAGUGAAAUAUUUUAAUUGGUGCUAUUAAUGUAUAUAUACAUUUAUUACAAUUAAAACUUAACACAUAUUAUUAAUUUUGUGAAUAAAAUAUUUUUCUUAAUAAUAUAUAAGUAAAAAAAAUAAAAAUCUAGGAGGGGCUCAGGCCCCCUCUGGACCCCUCUAGCUCCGUCUGUAUACACCUAUCAUAUUAUUGACAGGUGGCUCUCUCAUAUUGCUCACAGGCGAACUCCUGCAUAUACUUUGUGAACCAAUCAUGACAAAAAUAUCAUCAUCCAAUCAAUUCGAUUAAUUAUUCUUUAAAUCAGUACAAAUAUUGUUAAAUAUAUGGAUGAUUAUCGUGUUUCCGCGAACCAAUCAUGAAAUGAAAUUACCUCUGUAUAAAUCCAUCGGAAAUAAGACAAUUAAUGGGGCCGUUUGGGCAAGCUUAAAAGAAGUGACUUCUUGCUUAAACUAGAGAAGUGGAGCAGAAGUGAGAAGUAAAUAAGUUAUUAAAGUGUUUGGAAAAGAAGCAGAAGCUGUGAGACAAAAGCUAGCAUUCUCAGCUUUUUAAAAGUGACUUCUUUACACAAACGGGUAAAAAAAGCAGAAGCCAGAAGCAGCUUCUGCUUCCGUUAAACAAACAGGCCCAAUAUCUCAAUCGAAUACACCCCGUGAGUUGUCAAACUCCUCGAAACGUAUUAAUCACUUUAGAAAUUUGUUCCACUGGCGCCAUUCAGUUCCAGAGUUGGUGGUAGGGGCCGUGCUUCUUGUGUUUCUUCUUUUCAUUAUUGACAUUGUCAUCUAGGUCCUUGCUUCUGGGCUUUGGAGAAGUAAACAAUGGAUCUAUUAGUCUUCCAUAUCGCUGAUACGCGCUAACGCGCAUUAUAGUGGAUUGAUCUUUAUUAGUGAUUUCUGUGGAGAUGCAUAAUCAUUAUAAGCUCCAAUAUAAAAUAAACCUAAUUUAAAGUUAGUAUGGGCAUUUGUGUUGAUAAUUUACGCAAUGUUAACAGGGAUUGCUCCCAAGUCUUGGACGGAUUCUUUCCAAGUCUUCUGAGGACCUAUUUGCACACUAAUUUGUCGCCAACUAAAAAUUCAACGAUAUUGCUAGCUCCCUCUACUAAUUUUUUGCGGGACGUUUUUUACUUUUAACACAUAUCUUUAGAUAGAAUUAGUAUUGUAAAAAGCGGGAAUCAGACUUAAUCGGUGAAGUCACAGAACAACGAUUAAUCGAUGAUUAAUUGGAUUGAUUGGGUAUCAAUCGGAUGAUUAAUGAAAUAAUCGGAUAUUUAAUCCGUUCGACGAGUUACGGAACAGGGAUUAAUCGUGAUUAAUCACCGACUUUUAGAACAGAGGAUAGGAUAAUAAAAUUAUUAUUUUUGAUUAUUUUUUUUGUGAAUAAAAAUUUUGAUUAUAUAUUUUUAUUAAAAAAGAAUUUAAAAUAAUAUUUUUAACUAACCGGUCCAAACAGCUAAAAGUGUGUGCCCAAGCGUCAUAUAAAAACGGAGGGAGCGAGCAUGUGCUGACUAACGGUUCAACUAACAGUUUACAAGUACUCCAUCUGUCCCAUUUAGUCCUAUUUAAUUAUAUACGUUUUUUUUUAACUGUUUGACACGCACUUCAAUGCUCUUCUAAAAUAUGGUUCUAUAACUUAUUUUUAAAAUUUUCUUUUUCUGAAUAAAAAUAUAACAUUCAAACUUUUAUUCAGAAAAAAAUAUCGUAAAAAUAAGUUAUAGAAUUAUAUUUUAUAAGAGCAUUAAAGUCCAUGUCGCGUCCCCGUCUUCUGAUGUAUAAAUUUGCGCAAUGUUAACGGGGAUUGCUCAUUUGCUCUCAAGUCUUGGACGGACCAAGUCUUCUAGGACCCAUCUGCACACUAAUUUGUCUGCCAACUAAAAAAUCAACGAUAUUGCUGCCUCUGCUAUUUUUUACCAGGACGUUUUUUACUUUUAACACAUGUUUAGAUAGGAUAAUAAAUAUUAUUAUUAUUGAUUAAUUUUUUUGUGAAUAAAAAUUUUGAAUAUAUAUUUUUAUCAAAAAAAGAAAAUUUUAAAAAUAAUAUUUUUAAGGGAAAUUAUUAAUGGUACUAUUGUGCUACUGGCUUUUCUAAAUGGUACUAUUUUGGUGUUUUCGACUUACAUGCAUUAUCACUUCCAUUAACGAUACUACCAUUCCGUCCCUCAAAACGUUAAAACCAUUAGUUGACCGUAUUUAUUUUGUAUUUUCCUUGUAAAAAAAACAAAAGAAUACAACUAAUAUUUGUAUUUUUUGUUUGUGUUCAAAUCGUCGAGAUAUGGAAGAGGUUAUCAGAAUUUUAGAAUUGAUUCGAUGUCCUUCAGAAAGUCAGGGGGAAACGGAAUGAGAUACGAGUUUUGAACAAGAAUCCAGUUUAGUUGUUGUUUAUCUUGAAAAACAGAUUUGGAAGUCAUAUAUUUUCAGCCUUUGGCUUCAUGUAUUUCUGUCUCAUCAUUCCCAGAUACUUGCUGAGGUUUAUAGUCACUGUUUAUUAAAUGUUGUCGUACAUUUUCCUGUAUUAUGCACCCAUGUGGCGCCUGUGUUUUGCAUGUCAUGCACAAUUUGCUCAACUACAUACAGGUCACAGGAUGAGUGCAUGUGCCAAAGGGAUUAGUGCAUUGAUCUGUGUAGUGUGAGGACACUGUGAUACAAGGCACAAUUUCUCAGAUUUCUUCUGUCAACACCACUCCCAUCCAUAGCUCCCACCUUUUCUCUCUCAAUCUCAUGUUUCUCUCUUUCUCUCGCAGCUCCGCCGCCACCACUACAUCAGUCUUCAAGAACUCAAGAAAAAAUAUGGAUAUCAGUUAUAUUUUUUGUGUUUUUUAAAGAAGUAUAUGAAAUAAAUAUAGUCAACUAAUGUUUUUAACGUUUUGAUGGACCGAAUGGUAGUAUCAUUAACGGAUCAUAAACUGAGUGGUACCACUUGUAAGUAAAAACCAGUGUUGUAAAAAGCGGGAAUCGGAUUUAAUCGGUGAAGUCACGGAACAAAGAUUAAUCGGAGAUUAAUCGGACUAAUCGGUGAUUAAUCGGAUAUUUAAUCAGUUCGGCGAGCUACGGAACAGGGAUUAAUCGGUCGUGAUUAAUCACCGACUUUUAGAACAGAGGUAAAAACACGAAAUGGUAUUAUUCAUAAAAGCCAAUACCACGAUGGUACCAUUAAUAAUUUCCCUAUUUUUAAUUACCGAGUCCAAAUAUUUAAACGUGUGUGCCCAAAAUUAAAGCCGCAUAUAAAAAAACGGAGGGAGCAUGUACUAACCGUUUCCAUAACAGUUUACAAGUAUAAGUUAUACUCCCUCUCAAUUUUUUUAUUUUUUUAUAUGACGUUUUGAUCUUGGGCACACAUUAUUAAGUGUUUUGACCGGAUAGUUAAAAAUAUUAUUAUUUAAAUUUUCUUUUCUGAAUAAAAAUAUAUAACCAAAAAUUUUAUUCACAAAAAUUUUUAGUGAUUUUUUCGUGAAUACCUAAGGCCAAUUUUUCAAAUAUUUUGUAAAAAUACCAAUUUUUUGAAAAUAUUUGCAAAGAUAAUGUAUUCAACCACAUGCAACCAUACUUAUAACCAGAUGUAACCAUAAUUGCAACCUCUGCGGGACCAAUUAACUGAAUUUGUAUUUGGUUGCACUAGUUAGUAUUUUCUUAAAGUUAGUAUUUUUGUAAAUAUUUUUAAAAAAAAGUAAAAUCGCAAAAAAAAAAAUCGAAAAAAUGGUUUGAUAAAUUUCUAAAUAUUUAAUCACAGAACAAUAACUUUUACAAUCCGAUCAACUCAUUUAAAAAUGUGUGUCAAAAGUAAAAAUGUCAUAUAUAUAUAUAUCAUAUAAAUGUCAUAUAAAUUUAAAACAAAGGGAUNCAUAUAAAUGUCAUAUAAAUUUAAAACAAAGGGAUAUAUAUUUUUUAAUAAAAUAUACUCCCUCUAUCCCAAAUAAGUGUCAGUGACAUUUUGCAAAAAUAGCUUGGGACAAUAGAUUUUUUUGCCACUCAACUUAAUGUGUUUUUAGAAAUUCGCCACCCAACUAAUUUUUUUUUCCUUUUACUCACUAAUGUUAGGUUUGGAUUUUUUUUAGCCACCAACUUAGGUUCGGAUUUGAUUACUAGUAUUAUGAUAAUUUUAUUUAUCACUAAACUUACUGCGUCUUUAGGAAUUAACCACUGAACUAUAAUUUUUUUAUUUUACUCACUAAUGUUAGGUUCAUUUUUUUUGUCACUGAAGUUAGGUUCGGAUUUGAUUAUUAGCAUUAUAUUAAUUAUGUGUAACAUUAUUAAAAUAUAGUGGUCUAUAAUAUUUUGAUGAUUUGGUAUAUGUCUGUAUCUUUAUAUAUAGUACUUUUUAUGUCUCCAAUGUCGUUUAACUUGAGUGGUAAGAAUUUUACACGCAUUUUAUGGCUUUUAAAAGAUGUAGUUUCAUAAAUAAUUUUAUUUUUUUCUUCCGAAUAAAAAUUCAGCGUUUUACACACAAAAAAAUAACAAAAAAAAGUUAUGAAGCUAUGUUUUAUAAGAGUCUUAAAAUACGUGCUAAGCAGUAGAAAAAACUGUAAACUAAUGAGAGGGACAUGUAGUAAUAAUAAUAAAAUGAUGCAUUAUAGAGGACAAUCAUCGAAAAUUAAGUUAACCUCUCUAUUUAUUUAUCUUGAAAAUUGUAGUAAAAUAAAGUUAUUAAAAUUUAUGAAGAUAAAUUUGAGAGAGAUCUUGGACUGAGCUAGUCAAUUGAAACUUUAAUAGCGAAAGAUGAUGCAUCAUAUCAAUCAAUUACACUUUAUCUUCUUAUCAUCAGGGAGGGUGAAUUGUUUGAAGUCAUUGAUUUCAUAUUCAUGAUUUAUUGAAUUUUAGAAUUCUAAUUACGAUUUUUCCUGGUUUUAAUUUUUCAUCGGCUCAUUUUAUAUUAUUUUUGUUAUAUAUAAGGAUAUAAACAUACGACACAUCAUCAAAAUAUUACAUACUAUCACUAUGUAUAAAUGAUGCGACAAAAAUUAUCAUAAUGCUAGUAAUUAAAUCCGAACCUGAGUAGUGGCUAAAAAAAAAUCCAAACCUAAUAUUAAUGGUAAAAGGAAAAAAAAAAUAGUUAGGUGGCAAGUUUCUAAAAACACUAUAAAUUGAGUGGCAAAAAAAAUCUAUUUUCCAAACAUAGCUUGGGGUAAUAACAAAACCUUAAUCAACGCAAGCACAGCAGACCGCAGGCAUAAGGCUUAUAAAUAGAAGUGCAGUAUUGUGUUGAUGGUCAAGUUGAGUGGAAAUAUGGUACACUUUGUAAAGCCUUGUUAUCCUCUUCUCUUUGUUUUCUUUCUCUCAUUACUUCAAUCCAUUCUAACAACACUACCUGAAUCCAGACGAGAGGGAGAAGCUCUUGUGAAAUGGAAGAAUAGCCUAGCCCCGUCUUCUUUUCUCGACUCUUGGUCACUCACUGAUCUCGAUAAUCUUUGUAACUGGACUGGCAUUACUUGUAACUCUGCAGGUUCAGUCUCGGAGAUUAACCUUUGUGAGAAACAACUUGAUGGAAUGCUGUCCGAGUUUGGUUUCACUUCAUUUCCAGAUCUCAACUAUCUCACCCUCGCAGACAACUUCUUCUCGGGUCCGAUACCAUCAGCCAUUGAGAAUCUAACACAGCUUCAAUAUCUUGAUUUAAGCAUGAAUAGUCUCAAUGGUCCCAUUCCUUUCCAGGUUAGCCAUAUUCAGAGCUUGCUCAUCUUAAACCUGUCACACAAUGCAUUGCAAUCUCCAAAUUGGUCCCAUUGCUCUCCCAUGCCUGUCUUGCGCAUCCUCGACCUUAGUUUUAAUAAUCUUGUGUCGAAAUUCCCAGAAUUUAUAUCCAAUUCUCAUAGCCUGACUCACCUUAACCUUUCAGAUAACAAGUUUACUGGUGAUCUUGUGCGUGAAUUUACCAAUCUACAAAAUCUUGAAACCCUCUACCUUCAAGAUAAUUCUUUUGAGGGGCCGUUUCCGCCUGAUAUAGUCCAGCUUUCCAAAUUAAAACGUCUCGCCCUGUUAGGUAACAAAUUUUCAGGUUCAAUUCCCAAUGACAUAAGGUUGCUUUGUGUUCUUGAAUACCUAUAUUUAGGCAACAAUUCCUUUGAAGGACCACUUCCACCAAAUAUAUUCACGCUUUCAAAAUUAAAAUUACUUGUUCUUUGGGGUAAUAAGUUUUCAGGUUCUAUUUCCAAUGAUAUAGGUUUGCUUUCUGAGCUUGAAACCCUCGUUCUUGACUCUAAUUAUUUUGAGGGGCCACUUCCGCCAAAUAUAUUCAAGCUCUCUAAAUUAAAGGUUUUUUCCCUUGUGUACAAUAACUUUUCAGGUUCUGUUUCCAAUGAUAUAGGUUUGCUUUCUGAGCUUGAAUAUCUCCGUAUUGGCUGCAAUUCUUUCGAGGGACCGUUGCCAACAAAUAUAUUCAAGCUUUCCAAAUUAAGUAAACUUGACCUAUCAAAUAAUAGUAAUUUUUUUGAAGGAAGUAUUCUUAUUGGAUUGGGACUCUUGACUAACCUCAGCUACUUAGAUCUAGAUUCCAAUAAUCUCAGUGGCUAUAUUCCAUCUGAGAUUGGAAACCUGAAGCUACUAGUAUUUCUCGAUCUUAGUUCUAAUCAAUUGACUGGAUCGCUUUCAAAGAUCUUUUCUAAUCUCACAAAUCUUAUAUAUCUUCAUGUAUAUGAUAAUAGUCUUAGUGGAAAUAUUCAGAGUGACUUGUGGAAAAACUCUGUAUCCUUGCGUUUCGUUGAUCUUGCAAAUAAUUAUUUGUCUGGAAACAUCCCUAAGGAAUAUAACGAUCAUCCAACUUUGGAAUACAUUAAUUUAAGUUGGAACCAUUUUACAGGUAUAUUUUCUCUAUAUAUCUUUUCCUUUUCUNCUCAUAUGUAACUAAGCUUGAUUAUUGCAAUUUUACCUAAGUUUCAACAAUCUUGACAGGUGAGCUUCCAACAACAAUUUGCAAUGUCACUUCCCUCUCGGUUCUUGUUUUGUCAAAGAAUGGAUUAAGUGGUCCACUUCCAAAUUGUUUCGGAAAUCUUGCUGAUAGAUUGCUUUCCAUUAAUCUUGCUAAUAAUCAGUUCCGAGGAACAAUACCAACUACUUUCUCCAGCAGUUGUCAGCUGACAUAUCUAAACAUGGAUGAUAAUGAGUUUGAAGGAAUGUUGCCUCAAUCUUUGGCGAAAUGUAAGCACUUGAAAAUUCUUGAUAUUGGCAAUAACAAAAUAGGUGGUAUAUUUCCGUCAUGGCUUUAUGUACUUGGAGAGCUAGAAGUCCUUGUCUUGCGAUCAAAUAAACUCUAUGGUACAAUAAGUGGAAGGAGCAUAGAAGAUCCGUUCCCCAAGUUGCGGAUUGUGGAUCUGUCCAACAAUCAAUUCACCGGCCAGUUGCCAAUUCAAUACUUUAAGAAUAUGAAAUCAACUGAUAAUUUGUAUCGUUAUCGGAAUUCCACAGGACCAUUAUCUUUCUCUUAUGAAGCAGCAGUCUCAUUAACUGUGAAGGGAACAGAGUACGAGGUAGCAAAGAACCUUCAUAUUUACACAGCCAUUGACCUGUCAUGCAACAAAUUUCAGGGAGAAAUUCCAAAGGUUACUGGAGAGCUUAGAUGGCUUGCAUUGCUGAAUUUAUCUCAUAAUAGUCUGACAGGACCUAUCCCAUCCUUGCUGAAAAAUAUGAAAGAACUCCAAUCUUUAGAUUUGUCCUCAAAUCAACUGACAGGGGCUAUUCCACCUCAGUUAACUGCAUUGACAUUUCUGGAGGUCUUCAACCUCUCGGGAAACCAUCUUAGUGGAGAGAUUCCUCAGAAAGGACAGUUCAGCACAUUUAACAAUGAUUCUUAUCUAGGAAACUCCGCGUUAUGUGGAUCACCUUUGACAAAGAAAUGUGCAAACACAGCAUCACCUCCACAAGAAGUCGGAAAUGGUGAUGAAGAUGAUGCUGGUGAUGAAUGGACAUGGGAAGCAAUCGUGAUGGGAUAUGGAUGUGGACUGAUAUGUGGAUUGUCAUCUGCGUACAUUGUUCUCAAACUAGGAAAGCCUUGGUGGUUUGUGAGAUAUAUCGAAGUGCUGCAACUGAAGUUGAUGAAAAGAUAUGCUUGAAAAAUGGUACUGGCCGAUCAAGACGAACUUGAAAGUUGUUGUCCUUGUGGACAUUUCUGAACCAGUAGUGUACUAGCUGCAUAAGUAUUUGGUAUUAUGUAAUAAUCCGUUUGGUCAGGACUCAUAAUGAUUUCUCUUGCUUCAGGGGUAUUAAUAUUAACCUUGCUAGUUAAUUCAAAUUAAAACAAAUAUAAAAUCAAAAAAUUUGCAUCAAACACCUGUUAUACCAACAUCCAUUAAUUUGCUUUCAUCUCUUACGUAACAAUUUAACAGCGAUUCCACACUGUUUUAGGCAUGGAGAUUACACAAAGAAGGCAAGUCCAUGGACUAAUAUACGAACAAUUCAUAUUGGUCUUCCAUCUGUUCAACCGUCUCCCGAAGAUAGGCCAAAAAUGUCAUCUGUGGUUCUUAUCUUUGUCAGUAAAGGAGAAUCUCUGAUGCCUAUACAACCUGGUUUUCUUACCGAAAGGAAUGUAGGUGAAACCAGGGGCAUAAAAUGAAUCGGGACUAAAAUCUGCUAAAAUGAUAAUUAUUUACUCAUCAUUCGAGAUUAGUCGGGCUCGAAUGAAGAUUUAUAUGGAUUUUAAGAACAAACUAUGACUAAAUAUGAAAAAAUCAUUAAUUUUUCCGACUCAAUAUUUUUAGCCUCCCCCGGCCCUGGGUGAAACCAUAAGCUUCUCUGGUGCACAUCCAAAUCAUUCAGCUGGUUCUACAUUCAGCUCACCCACAGGAACAUCAUUCUGCAGGUACUCUCUUAUCUGUACUUUCUUAUAUUGUAUGCCAGAAAAUUUAAUAUCGACAAACUGCACAAUACACCUCGAUCUCAUAUUAUUGACAGGUGAGCUCCUCUCAUAAUGCUCACAGGCGAACUCCUGCAUAUAUACUUUGUGAUGUCAUUGAUGAUCGAUAGGCUUGAAAAAAAAUUAUGACAAAGAUUCAUAAAAUAUCUACUUCCAUCCUAAUUCAGUAUUCAAUAUUAUUCAUUCCGUAUCAUCAUCCAAUCAAUUCUAAUAGUUCUUCUUUAAAUCAGUAUAAAUAUUGUUAAAUAUAUUGAUGAUGGUUGUCUUUCCGCGAACCAAUCAUAAAAUUACCUCUGUAUAAAUCCAUCGGAAAUAAGACAGUUAAUAUCCCAAUCGAAUACACCCCUGUCAGUUGUCAAACUCCUCGAAACGUAUUAAUCACUUUAGAAAAUUUGUUCCACUGGCGCUAGUCAGUCCCAGAGUUGGUGGUGGGUGCUUCUGGGCUUUCGAAAAGCACCCAUUUACUCCAUUGUUUAGAGAAGUAAAACCCCACCUUCCGCUCAUUUGAUUGAUCAGCUGAAUUAGGCAGAGUUUACAUGGUCAUGAUCAUAGUCUCCCAUUUCCCAGAUACGCGCAUUAUAGUGGAUUUAUCUUUAUCAGUAAUUUCUGUGGAGAUGCAUAAUCAUUAUAAACUCCAAUAUAAAAAUUUAAAGUUGGUAUGGGCAUUUGUGUUGAUAAUUUGCGCAAUGUUAACAGGAAUUGCUCCCAAGUCUUGGACGGACUCUUUCAAAGUCUUCUGAGGACCCAUCUGCACACUAAUUUGUCUCCCAACUAAAAAAUCAACAAUAUGUUACUCCCUCCGUUUUUCUUAAACGAGGUUAAAAUUUUUGACACAAGAUGGGUUGACAGUAUAAUAAAAAUUUUUGUGAAUAAAAUUUUUUUUAUUUAGAAAGAUAAUCUUGAAAAUAAUAUUAUUAACUAAGUUAAAUCACUUAAAAGUGUAUGUCCAAAAAUUAAAGCGGCAUAUAAAAAAAAGGGAGGGAGCAUGUACUAACUGUUUCCAUAACAGUUUACAAGUAUAAGUUAUACUCCCUCUCUAUUUUUUUAUAUGACGGUUUGAUUUUGGGCACACAUUUUUAAGUGUUUUGACCAGAUAAUUAAAAGGGGUUUUCUCAUAAAUACCUAAGUCUAAAAUUAUUUUUACGAAAAUAUUAUAUCUUUUUUUAAAUAUUUUGCAAAAAUACCAAACUUUGUAAAUAUUUACAAAAAUACGGUAUGCAACCCGUUGCAACCACAUGCAACCUUACUUGCAACCAUAUUUGCAACCCCUGCGGGGUCAAUUAACUGAAAUUGCAUCUGGUUGCGUUUAGUUGCAGACCGUAUUUUUGCAAAUAUUUUCUAAAAAGUUAGUAUAUUUGCAAUUUUUUUAAAAAUAUAAGAAAAUCGCAAAAAUUAUAACAAAGCUUCAAGAUUUUUAACAGGUGAGCUUCCACUAAAAAUUUGCAAAGUCACUUCCCUUUCGCGUCUCAUUAUGUCAGAUAUUGGUCAAGUGGUGCACUUCCACAGUGUUUGGGGAACCUUUCUUUGCUUGGUUUCAAUAAUCUUGCUAAUAAUCAAUUUCAAGGACCAAUACCAACGACUGUCCAAGACUUGUCUGUGCAUAUCUAAACAUCCAUAACAAUCACUUUGAAGGUUUGUUGCUCCAAUCUUUGGCAAACUGUAAACACUUACAAAUUCUUGAUAUUGGAAACAACAAAAUAGGUGGUACAUUUCCGUCAUGGCUAUUUACUGUUGGAGAGCUAGAUGUCCUAGUUAGGACGGUAUUUCGACUAGAGCAAGCCGAGUUUUGAGCGGAGCCCAAUUCGAGCCAAGUUUAAUCGAGUCGAGCCGAGUCAGUUCGUUUGGCUAAUCGAGCCUAAAACUCUGUCCGAACUCGACUCGUUUAAUUUCACGAGUUGAGUCAAGCCAGCUCAUUUAGCUAAACGAGUUGGUUUUAACGAGUUAAACGAGUGAGCUCGUAUAAUUUUAACUUAAUCGAGCCUGGAUCUCUAUCCGAACUAUUGGCUCGUGUAAUUUCGCGAGUCGAAUCGAGCCGGCUCGUUUUAUUAAACAAACCGAAAUUUUUGCCCAAAUUUUGCUCGUUUAACAAGCCGAUCUGAACCUAGUUAAAUGAGUUCGAGCUAGUCGAGCUCGCAGCUUGCGAGCUCGCCGGACAGCUCUAGUACUAGUCUUGCGAUCAAAUAGGUUUCACGGUAUAGAAAGUGGAAGGAACACAAGGCAUCUGUACUUUCUUGUACUGUAUGCCACUUUGACAGUAAAAUUUAUACUCCCUCCGUCCGAAUGAAUUGUAUACAGUUUACUUUUUGGGACGUCCCAUCAAUUGUAUACAUUCCUAAAGUAGUAAACUUUUAUAAUAUAAAACAUCAUUAAACCAACUACUUUCUUCCCCUAUCUCCAUUCUAUAAUAAUAUAAACACUAUUACACCCACUACUUUCCUCCACUAUCUCAAAUUUAUUAUUAAAUAUAAAUGGGUCCCACCACUAUACUCACUUUUCAUCCAACUUUACUCAUUUCUAAUAAAAUUUCUUGGUCUCCGUGUCCCAGCCAUUUGUAUACAAAUGACUGGGACGGAGGGAGUAUCAACAAACUGCACGAUUAAAUCCUCGUACAAUUGACAGGUGAACUCCUGCAUAUGUUCUGAACUAUUACGUACUAUAUUAUGCAAGCUGUUUGCAACUUUCAUCAAAAUUUUCAAACAUUUCUUAAUAUGUUUUUUCAAAAAAUUCUCGGGCCCUCUUAAGGCCUAUUAUUAUUGCAACUCUCACGUUAUGGACCACUAUGUAUUUUACAAGCACGACGAAUCAUGUGGUCAUUAUGGACUCCCCAAGCCUUCGAGGACUCACUCCAGGUCUUAGGAGGACCACUGCCUAGCUCACCCUUUCGGAGUGAUGUAAAUUAUUUUCUAGACACUAAAAAUAAGUAUUCAGAUUAAUCAUUACAAAAUUAAGGAUAUAAAAUCAGAAUAAAUCCUAAACUUUGAUGAUACAAAAAAAUUAUAAUUGUAAAUUAUACAAUCAAAUUAAAAUCGAAUUAACUUCCCUCACACUUAAAAUUUAUAGCGAUCAAAUCAAAAUCGAAUUAACUUUCCUAUUACUAAAAUAUAAUUACAAUAUUAUUAGAUAAAGAGAAUAUAUAAUAAUCAAGAGAAAAUAGAUUUUUUUUUGCCACUCAACUUAUCGUGUUUUAAGAAACUUACCACCCAACUAAAUUUUUUUUCCUUUUGCUCACUAAUGUUAGGUUUGGAUUUGUUUUUAGCCACCAACUAAGGUUCGGAUUUGAUUACCAGCAUUAUGAUAAUUUUUUUUGUCACUAAACUUAUUGCGUCUUUAGAAACUAACCACUCAACUAAAUUUUUUUUUAUUUUACUCACUAAUGUUAGGUUCAGUUUUUUUUUGUCACUGAAGUUAGGUUCGGAUUUGAUUAUUAGCAUUACAUUAAUUCUGUGUAGCAUUUUUAAAAUAUGGUAGUACUCUGUGAUAUUUAGAUGAUUUGAUAUAUGUCUGUAUUUUUAUAUAUAGUAUAUUUUAUGUCUCCAAGAUCAUUUACCUUGGGUCAUAAGAAUUUUACACGCAUUAUAUGACUUUUAAAAGAUGUAGUGUCAUAAAUAAUUUUAUUUUUUUUUCCGAAUUAAAAUUCAGCAUUUGAAUUUUACACACACAAAAAUCGCAAGAAUAAGUUAUGAAAUUAUGCUUUAUAAGAGUCUUAAAAUACGUGCUAAACGGUAGAAAAAACGGUGAAAUAAUGAGAGGUACAUAGGAGUAAUAAUAACAUAAAAUGAUGCACAAGUUAGUAUAUUGGACUAAUAUUCACGCAUUUAUAUACGAGAAUAUAUGGUCCACAAGUUAGUGCACAAUGUCCAAGAAUCUUUAUCAAAGUAACACGGCAAGCAUGCAGCAUAUAAAUAAGAGUGGGCAGUAUGGUAUUGCAUUCAUAACCCACUUGAGGAGAAAUAUGGCACACUUCCUAAAGCCUUCUCACCUUCUUCUCUUUGUUUUCUCUCUCUCGUUACUUCAAUCCAUUCUACCAACAAGACCAGAGGGAGAAGCUCUUGUGAAAUGGAAGAAUAGCCUAGCCCCUUCUUCUUUUCUCGAUUCUUGGUCACUCACCAAUCUCGAUGAUCUUUGUAACUGGACUGGCAUUACUUGUAACUCUGCAGGUUCAGUCUCUGAGAUUAACCUUUAUGAGAAACAACUUGAUGGAAUGCUGUCCGAGUUUGGCUUCACUUCAUUUCCGAAUCUCAACAAUCUCACCCUCGCAUACAACUUCUUCUCGGGUCCAAUUCCACCAGCCAUUGAGAAUUUAACACAGCUUCAAUAUCUUGAUUUAAGCAUCAAUAGUCUCGAUGGUCCCAUUCCGUUCCAGGUUAGCCAUCUUCAGAGGUUGCUCGUCUUAAACCUGUCACAGAAUGCAUUGCAAGCUCCAAAUUGGUCCAAAUUCUCCCCCAUGCCCUUUUUGUGCAUCCUCAACCUCAGUAGCAAUCCUCUUGCGUCGACAUUCCCAAAUUUCAUAUCCAAUUCUCAUGGCCUGACUCACCUCAGCCUUGAUCAAAACGAGUUUACAGGUGAUUUAGCGCGUGAAUCAAUAUUUGCCAAUCUGCAUAAUCUUGAAGUCCUCAGUCUUGUUGGCAAUUCUUUUGAGGGGGCCAUUUCCGCCAAAUAUAUUCAAGCUUUCCAAAUUAAAACAUCUUAGCCUGUCAGAUAACAAACUUUCAGGUUCAAUUCCCAAUGACAUAAGGUUGCUUUGUGAUCUUGAAUACCUAUAUUUAGGCAACAAUUCCUUUGAAGGACCGCUUCCACCAAAUAUAUUCAAGCUUUCAAAAUUAAAACAUCUUAUUCUUUGGGGUAAUAAGUUUUCAGGUUCUGUUUCCAACGAUAUAGGUUUGCUUUCUGAGCUUGAAAGCCUCUAUCUUGACUCCAAUUUUUUUGAGGGGCCGCUUCCGCCAAAUUUAUUCAAGCUCUCCAAACUAAAGAUUCUUUUCCUUUAUGAGAAUAACUUUUCAGGUUUUAUUUCUAAGGAUAUAGGUUUGCUUUUUGAACUUGAAACCCUCUAUCUUGACUCUAAUUUUUUUGAGGGGCCGCUUCCCCCACAUGUAUUUAGGCUCUCCAAAUUAAGAGAUCUGGGUCUCUCAGACAAUAGAAAUUUAUUUGAAGGAAGUAUUCCUAUUGGACUGGGACUCUUGACUAACCUCAGAUACUUGCGUCUAUCUUCCAAUAAUCUCGGUGGCUAUAUUCCAUCUGACAUUGGAAACCUGAAGCAACUAGAACUUCUUGAUCUCGGUUCUAAUCAAUUGACUGGACCGCUUUCAAAGAUCGUUUCUAAUCUCACAAAUCUUAUAUAUCUUGAUGUGAGUUAUAAUAGUCUUAGUGGAAAUAUUCAGAGUGACUGGUGGAAAAACUCUGUAUCCUUACGUUACAUUGAUUUUGAAAAUAAUUAUUUGUCUGGGAACAUUCCUAAGGAAUAUAACGAUCAUCCAACUUUGGAAUACAUCAAUUUAGGUGGGAACCAUUUUACAGGUAUAUUUUCUCUAUAUAUCUUUUCCUUUUGUCAUAUGUAAAUAAGCUAGUAAUCUGGUUAUUGUAGUUUUACCAAAGUUUCAACAAUCUUGACAGGUGAGCUUCCAACAACAAUUUGCAAUGCCACUUCCCUUUCGGUUCUUGUUUUGUCAAAUAAUGGAUUAAGUGGUGCACUUCCAAAAUGUUUCGGGAAUCUUGCUGAUGGAUUGCUUUACAUUAAUCUUGCUAAUAAUCAGUUUCGAGGAACAAUACCAACUACUUUCUCCAGGAGUUGUCGGUUGACAUAUCUAAACAUGGAUAAUAAUGAGUUUGAAGGAUUGUUGCCCCCAUCUUUGGCGAACUGUAAGCACUUGAAAAUUCUUGAUAUAGGCAAUAAUAAAAUAGGUGGUACAUUUCCGUCAUGGCUUUAUGCACUUGGAGAGCUAGAAGUUCUUGUCUUGCGAUCAAAUAAACUCUAUGGUACGAUAAGUGGAAGGAGCAUAGAAGAUCCCUUCCCAAAGUUGCGGAUUGUGGAUCUGUCCCACAAUCAAUUGACAGGCUAUUUGCCAAUUCAAUACUUUAAGAAUAUGAAAUCAACUGAUGAUUUGUAUAGUUUCCGGAAUUCCACAGGAACCGCAUCUAUCUCUUAUGAAGCAUCGGUCUCAUUAACCGUGAAGGGAACAGAGUAUGAAGUAGCAAAUAACCUUCAUAUUUACACAGCCAUUGAUCUAUCGUGCAACAAAUUUCAGGGACAAAUUCCAAAGGUUACUGGAGAGCUUAAAUGGCUGGCAUUGCUCAACUUAUCUCAUAAUAGUCUAACAGGACCUAUCCCGUCAUUGCUGAGAAAUAUGAAAGAACUCCAGUCUUUAGAUUUGUCUUCAAAUCAACUAACAGGGGCUAUUCCACCUCAGUUAACUGCACUGACAUUUCUAGAGGUCUUGAACUUCUCGGGAAACCAUCUUAGUGGAGAGAUUCCUCAGAAAGGACAGUUCAGCACAUUCAACAAUGAUUCCUAUCUAGGAAACUCUGCGUUAUGUGGAUCACCUUUGACGAAGAAAUGUGUAAACACUGUAUCACCUCCUCAGGAAGUCGAAAAUGGUGAUGAAGAUGAUGCUGGUGAUGAAUUGACAUGGGAAGCAAUCGUGAUGGGAUAUGGAUGUGGACUGAUAUGUGGAUUGUCAUCUGCGUACAUUGUUCUCAAACUAGGAAAGCCUUGGUGGUUUGUGAGAUAUAUCGAAGUACUGCAACUGAAGUUGAUGAAAAGAUAUGCAUGAAGAAAGGUACUGGUAGAUCAAGAUGAACUUGAAAGUUGUUGUCCUGGUAGACAUUUCUGAACCAGUAGUAUACUAGCUGUGUAAGUAUUUGGUAUUAUGUAAUAAUCCGUUUGGUCGGGACUCAAAAUGAUUUCUCUUGCUUCAGGGGUAUUAAUAUUAACCUUGCUAUCUUGAUCAAUGUUAAUGCAAAUUAAAAAGAAUAUAAAAGCAAAAAAUUUGCAUCAAACACCUGUUGUACCACAGGCUUCCGACUCAAUAUUUGUUAGCCUCCCGUGCCCUGUGUGAAACCAUAAGCUUCUCUGGUGAAUAUCCAAAUCAUUCAGCUGGUUCUACUUUCAGCUCACCGCAGGAACAUCAUUCUGCAGGUACUCUCUUAUCUGUACUUUCUUAUAUUGUAUGCCAGAAAAUUUAAUAUCGACAAACUGCACAAUACACCUCGAUCUCAUAUUAUUGACAGGUGAGCUCCUCUCAUAAUGCUCACAGGCGAACUCCUGCAUAUACUUUGUGAUGUCAUUGAUGAUCGAUAGACUUGAAAAAAAAUUAUGACAAAGAUUCAUAAAAUAUCUACUUCCAUCCUAAUUCAGUAUUCAAUAUUAUGCAUUCCGUAUCAUCAUCCAAUCAAUUCUAAUAGUUCUUCUUUAAAUCAGGACAAAUAUUGUUAAAUACAUGGAUGAUGGUUGUCUUUCCGCGAACCAAUCAUGAAAUUACCUCUGUUUAAAUCCGUCGAAAAUAAGAAAAUUAAUAUCCCAAUCGAAUACACCCCGUGAGUUGUCAAACUCCUCGAAACAUAUUAAUCACUUUAGAAAAUUUCAACAAUCUUGACAGGUGAGCUUCCAACAACAAUUUGCAAUGUCACCUCCCUUUCGGUUCUUGUUUUGUCAAAUAAUAAAUUAAGUGGUGCACUUCCAAACUGUUUCGGGAAUCUUGCUGAUGGAUUGCUUUACAUUAAUCUUGCUAAUAAUCAGUUUCAAGGAACAAUACCAACUACUUUCUCCAGGAGUUGUCCGUUGACAUAUCUAAACAUGGAUAAUAAUGAGUUUGAAGGAUUGAUGCCCCCAUCUUUGGCGAACUGUAAGCACUUGAAAAUUCUUGAUAUAGGCAAUAAUAAAAUAGGUGGUACAUUUCCGUCAUGGAUUUAUGCACUUGGAGAGCUAGAAGUUCUUGUCUUGCGAUCAAAUAAACUCUAUGGUACAAUAAGUGGAAGGAGCAUAGAAGAUCCCUUCCCCAAGUUGCGGAUUGUGGAUCUGUCCAACAAUCAAUUCACAGGCCAUUUGCCAAUUCAAUACUUUAAGAAUAUGAAAUCAAAUGAUAAUUUGUAUCGUUAUCUGAAUUCCACAGGAGAAAUAUAUAUCUCUUAUGAAGCAGCAGUCUCAUUAACUGCGAAGGGAACAGAGUAUGAAGUAGCAAAUAACCUUCAUAUUUACACAGCCAUUGAUCUGUCGUGCAACAAAUUUCAGGGAGAAAUUCCAAAGGUUACCGGAGAGCUUAGAUAGCUUGCAUUGCUCAAUUUAUCGCAUAAUAGUCUAACGGGAC